GAUGAACGCUAGCGGCAGGCCUAACACAUGCAAGUCGAGGGGGAGGUUACUUUCGGGUAACUGAGACCGGCGUACGGGUGCGUAACGCGUAUACAAUCUGCCUUUCACUGGGGGAUAGCCCGAAGAAAUUUGGAUUAAUACCCCAUAGUAUAGUAAUACGGCAUCGUGAUGCUAUUAAAGCUUAGGUGGUGAAAGAUGAGUAUGCGCUCUAUUAGCUAGUUGGAGAGGUAACGGCUCCCCAAGGCGAUGAUAGAUAGGGGUUCUGAGAGGGAUGUCCCCCACACUGGUACUGAGAUACGGACCAGACUCCUACGGGAGGCAGCAGUGAGGAAUAUUGGACAAUGGUCGGAAGACUGAUCCAGCCAUGCCGCGUGCAGGAUGAAGGUCUUAUGGAUUGUAAACUGCUUUUGUAAGGGAAGAAUAAGGGCUACGCGUAGUUUGAUGACGGCACCUUACGAAUAAGCAUCCGCUAACUCCGUG
rnacentral:rRNA from 1 species